UACGGGGGGAGCAAGCGUUGUUCGGAUUUACUGGGCGUAAAGGGCGCGUAGGCGGCCACCGCAAGUCGAUUGUGAAAUCUCCGGGCUUAACCCGGAAAGGUCAACCGAUACUGCGGGGCUAGAGUGCAGAAGGGGCAACUGGAAUUCUCGGUGUAGCGGUGAAAUGCGCAGAUAUCAGGAAGAACACCCGUGGCGAAGGCGGUUCUCUGGGACGGUACUGACGCUGAGACGCGAAAGCGUGGGGAGCGAACAGG
rnacentral:rRNA from 1 species